rnacentral:misc_RNA from 1 species
GCAUCAAAACGAGCUGAAAAUAUGGAUGCCAUAGUAAAAGCUGCAGAGUUGGCGGCUGAAGCUGUGUCUCAAGCUGGGAAAAUAGUGGCUAUGGGUGAUCCUUUGCCGUUGAGUGAGCUUGUAGCUGCUGGUCCAGGGGGUUAUUGGAAAGUAGGACAAGUAACUUCUGAGCCGGUUUCAAAAUCAAAUGACAUUGGUAGAGAAAAUGUGAAUGUGGACAGUGGUGGAGGUUCAGAUACUUCUACCGGGCAGUUAAAGGAGAUUGCAUCAGAUGAGAAAGAAAAUCAGAUAACUGACCUUGGGAAGUCACCUGCUUCUAGAGACAUAUCUAGCGAGGAACAUGGGAGAUUUUUAGAUGGUGUCUCUGGCUCUUGUGCGUCCACUGCAAAGGUUGCCAAAGGGCAAAAGGGCCGCAAGGCUUCUGAUUUGGCCAAAACUAUUGGGGUGGUCCCUGAAUCUGAGAAUGGAGCCAGAUGUUCCAUUGUUCAGAACGAGUAUGGAAAGGUGGAAACUCUAAAAGAGAAUAGCAUUAAGGAGAAUUCCAUUGUCGAGGUUUUUAAAGAUGGAAGUGGAUUUAAGGCAGCUUGGUUCCCAGCAAAAGUUUUGAGUUUAAAGGACGGGAAGGCUUAUGUGAGUUACACCGAGCUUACAUCAGGUGAAGGCUCAGAAAAGCUAAAGGAGUGGGUUCCACUUGAAGGUGAAGGAGAUGAGGCACCCAAAAUGCGCGUUGCCCGUCCUCAUACUGCCAUGCCAUUUGAAGGCACAAGGAAGAGAAGGAGAGCUGCAAUGGGGGACUAUGAUUGGUCUAUUGGUGAUAGAGUUGAUGCAUGGAUACAA